UAAAGCUCUGUUUGGUUCCAAUAUUUUAAGAGUUACUCAACAAUGGCUACUCUAAAAUACUUGCUCUCCAAAUCAUCAACACCUCUAAAACUCAGCAAUCCUCUCCAUCUUCAUCGUUCCAACAACAACUUCAAUCGCAUUUCAAAAUUUCUUAGAGCACUUAACUCGUUCGCUUCCGGGCAAUUUCAUUGCCAUUCACCUAAUUCUAGAAGUUUCUCCACUUCUCCGGAAUACGUCGCCCAAGACUCUGAUUCUUCCGUUGCAGCCGCGUUGAAUCUUGAUAGUCGGGUUCCUGCCACUGUUAUUACUGGCUUUCUUGGCUCUGGAAAGACUACUCUGUUGAAUCAUAUACUGACAUCUCAGCAUGGGAAGCGGAUUGCUGUGAUUGAAAAUGAGUUUGGUGAGGUGGACAUUGAUGGCUCAUUGGUUGCUAGUCAUUCUUCAUCUAACGAGGAAAUUCUCAUGGUUAAUAAUGGUUGUCUAUGCUGUACUGUACGUGGUGACCUUGUUAAGAUGCUUUUGG
rnacentral:misc_RNA from 1 species